UCACUUGACCUCAAGUGAUCCACCCGCCUCAGCCUCCCAAAGUGCUGGGAUUACAGGCAUGAGACACCAUGCCCAGACAAGAAUUCUUUUGUAACAUGAAAGAGCUAUCUAUAAUUUAUGUUUUGGACUGCCCUGUGUGUGCUUACGUAUGUCAUGGCACUCUGGAAUAAUGCAAAGAUUAAUACAUUGAAACAGAGAUAUUAGUAUUAGAAAAAGCUGAAUAUUGGCUACUUCUAGUAGCUAAUUUCUAGCUUGACAGUAUAUGGUGAAAAUUUGAAAACAUGUUUUUCAGGCACAAUUGUAGAUGGAAAAAUUGGUGAAUAAAGGAUGGGUACAAUACAACUACAGGAAACCACAAUCAAUGGAAAUGUUAAGAGAGCACACUAUAAAAUAGAUACUAUGUGUUUGUUGAAUGAAUGGAUGAAUGAAUACAAGUUAUUUAAACUGAAUAUUGAACAUUAGGGGCAAAUCAUAUUACCGUUACUGAGGUGACACAAGAAAAUUCCCUCAAACUAGGAAAAUCUACUUUUUACUGAGGCUUGUUUUCUUUGUUUUGUAUCUGCACUAGUGAUUGGUCAUUGUUUUAGAAAUAUCAUUUCUACCUUAUAUGUAUAUUUUUAAUGUUAAGAAUGAGUAAAAUAAAACCAUGUGAAUUAUAGGGUCUGUAUUAACAAUAGCACAUAUUCUGAAAUUUUGCUGGGAUUUUAACAAUUAUUUUAUACUAUUCACUAUGUGGUUGUAUGGUUGGGUAAAUUAGUUCUAUUUUCUAAGAUUCAGUUUUCUGAGCUCUGGAGUGGACAUGCAUUAUAUUUGGCAGUUGUGAGGGUAAAAUGAGAAAAAGCUUGUGAAGUGCUUAGCACCACACCUGUCAUACUGUAGGUGUGCAAUAAAACAUUUGCAUUUAUUACUCUGACUUCUAGUCAGCAACCAGCAGAGCGCCUGCCCAUAGUAUGUACUCAGUACUUACUUGAUCAGCCAGUGAAUGCUCACUACCUUUCUCUGAGCCUUCCAGAAAACUUGGUCUCCCUUUUGUGGGGCAGGGCUUUAAGUUAAGGGCAAUGCUAUGCCUAAAGUGGGGAAAAAAUAUUAAAUUUGGCAAAUGUUCCGGUUUCAUAGUUAUAUUGCAAAAAUGUAAAUAUUGUAGUUGCUAUGUAAGGUCUCAAAAUCUACCCCUAAUGUGAAUGGUAUAGAGCCACAGCAAAUCACAAUGCCUGUUUCAAUAUUUGUGAGUUACUUAAGGAAAUAGCCUUCCCUAGGAGUGCAAAGAGAUGCUGGAUUCUUCUAUAAAUUUCCUAUUAAAAUCCAGUAUACUUUACUGCUAUCCAUUUUUCAUGAGGCCUUUCAUUUGAGUAUAAGAAAAUCCCAGGCACAAACAUAAUUGGAGAUAAAAGUGAACAUAGUCAUAACUGUUGCCUAGCAGGGAGUGUUCGAGGCGAUGGUAUUUAUGUAUUCAAGAAACUAAGACUUUUAAAUCCCGAACAUUUUCAUGGUCUGGAAUGGUGAUAUGUUUAUUUUUUCCUUUAUGUUUCCAAUAGCACUGAAUUACAGUCCCGCAAAUAAGAUUGGAAGAAAUAUCUCAAUAUUAUAUGUAAGAUAAUUCUCUGAAGAAUAAUUGUGACUGUUUUCUCUUAUUCAUUGAAAAUGAUACAUUAUUUAAAAAAUUAUUUCACUGAUAAUGUAUUAUAAGUAAUAUAAAUAAGUCCCUGGAUAAAAAUCCUUAUCUUGUCAUUUUUUAGUAGUCUUUAGAUUUCCCAAAGUGUGUGUAUAUGUACAUAUGUGUGUGUAUAUAUGUAUAUAUAUGUGUAUUUAUAUGUGUAUAUAUGUGUGUAAUUAUAUGUGUGUGUAUUUUUAUGUGUGUGUAUAUAUAUAUUUGGUAUACCAAAUAUAUAGGGAAAUAUAACCUUCUUAUCAACUAUCAAAUAUUGAUAUACUAAAUAAAUAUUGAACCUAAUAGAAUUGAACCUAGUUUGUGAAAUUCUCAGUUCCUCUGAACUUCCCCAUCUCCUCAGGCAAAUAAGAAGUGACUGUUAAGUUCUUAGAUGACAGUGAUCAGUUUUCUUAUUUUCAUACAUCUCUCCCCCUUGUUUUCUAUAUUGUGAUAUGCAGUGGGUUUUGUUGACUCUUUAGUUCAGUGCUGAUUAUGUUGUGCACAUGUAGCAAGAUUAUGAUCACUGAAAUUUAAAAAGAAAUCUUUCUCAGUUUGCCACUUUGUGAUGGCGUUUAAAAGCCAUUGUGUCUACAAUGAAGCUGCUUAGUCAUUCAACAACUAUUCACUGAGCACCUACUAUGUAUCAGGCACUGUGCCAGGUUCUAAAAUUGGAAUAUAGAGAAUUCAGACAUUUUACAAAUUUUACAGUAGUGAAAGACAAUUUAAGAGGCAUUAGUCAAUUUUUAUUGUUCCUUUUUCUUAAGUGUUGCUGUUAGGUGCUUAAUAAGUUAUAAAAAGAGUAAUGGUAGUGAUUAUGCAAACAUCAUCUAAAAGAAAUGACAUGAAAACUUGUCACAACUUCUAAGAAAAUAGUGAGAUCAUGAGAAUGAAUUAUUCUGAUAAGCAACUAUAAUUUUUUAAUCUGUCUGACAAAAAAUAUUUUUGUAGUGUAUACAUAGUAGUAACAAGCAUGCUUGUUAUGACAUCUUGUAGCAUGUAGCUUUCCUUGAAAGAGGCUGGAAACAUGUCAGGAUGUAUUUCUGGAUUCUGCCCUGCUCCUAACUGGAGCAAUUGCAUUGGGUUCUGAGUGACACUAGCACCCUCCCAUUCAAAAGUGAGUAGUCAAGAACUGUAAUGAAACUUGGAGGAAUAGUGAGUAUGUGUUAGGCUUCCUGGUGAUUGAUUGCACUUAAUGGAACAAAUAAAAGAAUAAAAUGUGGCAUUGGGGUACACCCAAUAAUUUCUCCAACUUCUCAGAUGUCAGCAGACUUAAUGCAGGUUUUGCAGUUAACAUGUCAGUCUGGUGGUGUCCCAUCAUCGGGGGCAGUGAAAGGUGUGCCUGGAGUUGGAACUUGCUAGAAGGAACCCUAGAAAUAGUCAAAAAGUUGGAAAUCAGGAGUAGUGUCUAAAAUCUUGUUUUUAUCAUUUUUAACUGUGUAAUUCUCAGCAAGUGUCUGAAAGUCCCAGAGGCUCCAUUUCUUCUUGUCCAAAAUGGAGAUAAUACCAAUCUUACAAGCUAAGGCUUUACAUAGUGACCUGAUGCUUAAUAGAUAAUUUGAGUAAAGGUGAGUAGGAUUUUCUAGAUUGUGAUGCUUUUCCAUAUGUGACCAUUGCCAUUUAGAUAACAUUUAAUGAGCAUUGACUACGUACCAGGCAUUGUUUGCAAAGUCACCUGUUUGACUUCUUUAAUACUCAGUAACCAUAUGAAGUAGAUAUUUUACUGUCCCUUCACAAAUGAGAACUCUGAGGGCAAACUAGUUAAGUGACAGAGUCAGAACUUUAAUCCGUGCAGUUAUCUCUGGACUUUUCUUAACUGUAAUUCUAGAACUUGAAUUACAUAACUUACUUUGGCCCCAGUAAGGU